UAGCACACCGGUCUAUUAAAGCAUUAAGGCUAACAUAACGGGGUCGCAAGACUCAUUACCUUGUUAGCAUCCUUGAACUCCGGGUUCGAUUCCCGGCAGCGGAAUUUUUUUAAUGGCUUUAUAUUGUGAUUAGGACAAAAUUUAAGUUUUUUUGGUUUGUUUAUAUAUGAUACAAUCAUAGAGAGUUUACGUGUUCCAUACGUUUUGUGUAAUUGUGUAGGGUUCUUCAGAAGAUUUAAUUGAUGCAAACAUACAAACUUGCCUUGGAAACCUGAGGAGAAGAUAGAGAGUUUUUCCAGAUAAGCCUGAGAAACGCAGCGCUUCUCGCUACUCUUCUUUUGAUUCGGUAGCUAUGGAACUUGCAUACGCCUACAGCCUACAGGUAGUUGGGAGCCUAAAGAGCUACCGAUCCUCUAUAUGUUUAUCAGUUGCAACACUAGGAGAACUCUCUGUUGUAGAGAAGUUUUUGGUAUCUAUAGUAAUUUUGACAUUUUUCUUUGUGCCUUCUCAUUCUCUUCAAGUUAUUGAACCUUUUGUGUUUCGGCGUUUUAACCCAAACCUCUAACAAAAGUGUAACAAGCUGUGAUUGAUGCGGAUGCAAACAGACUAUUAGUCUGAGACUAAGGACGACCUGUUGCAGGUUCUAGGUCUAAAAGAAGAGAAAGGAAGCCACUUGAGUUUCUGCGCAGGGCUACAAGGCAUCAACUUGGUGGGGGAUACAAUGUGCAACUUGAUUUGUCAUCUAGUUGGCGUAACUAAAUAGUGGACAAGUCAUGGAUUCACACUUCUUUUUUAAGUUUCUCAAGACUGAGAUAUUUACAAUUGUAUAUGUGCAACACUGUAGAGUUUGAGAAAAUGUCAGAUGAGAAUGAUAAAUGAUAGUUUGGAAAUGUUUUCAUAUUUUGAAGUUCGUUGUUCGUUGAACACAUGGAAUCAAGUUUGUUGAUGCUAUCUCGGAUCUUGAAAGCACAAGUUUUAUGUAUAUGGUGUUGAAUAGUAGCAAGAUUGUUCUGCUCAGGUCAACGUUUUGGAUGUUCUUAUCGGUUUAAGAAAUUGAAUAGUAUAGUGUUGUUAUACACGUAAUAUAUCAUAU